rnacentral:rRNA from 1 species
UACAGAGGUCUCAAGCGUUGUUCGGAUUCAUUGGGCGUAAAGGGUGUGUAGGUGGCGCCGUUAGUCGGGUGUGAAAUUUCGGAGCUUAACUCCGAAACUGCAUUCGAUACUGCGGUGCUUGAGGACUGGAGAGGAGACUGGAAUUCAUGGUGUAGCAGUGAAAUGCGUAGAGAUCAUGAGGAAGACCAGUGGCGAAGGCGGUUCUCUGGGACGGUACUGACGCUGAGACGCGAAAGCGUGGGGAGCGAACAGG